rnacentral:misc_RNA from 1 species
GAUGAAGAACGUAGCGAAAUGCGAUAAGUAGUGUGAAUUGCAGAAUUCAGUGAAUCAUCGAAUCUUUGAACGCACAUUGCGCCCCAUGGUAUUCCGUGGGGCAUGCCUGUUCGAGCGUCAUUUACCCCCUCAAGCUCCGCUUGGUGUUGGGCGUCUGUCCCGCUUCGCGCGCGGACUCGCCCCAAAGGUAUUGGCAGCGGUCGUGCCAGCUUCUCGCGCAGCACAUUGCGCUUCUCGAGGCACCGGUGGGCCCGCGUCCAUCAAGCUCACCCCCCCAGUUUGACCUCGGAUCAGGUAGGGAUACCCGCUGAACUUAAGCAUAUCAAUAAGCGGGA